rnacentral:rRNA from 1 species
UACGGAGGAUGCGAGCGUUAUCCGGAUUUAUUGGGUUUAAAGGGUGCGUAGGCGGUCCGGAAGGUCAGCGGUAAAAGCCCGGGGCUCAACCCCGGCGAGCCGUUGAAACUGUCGGACUAGAGACGGCGAGAAGUACGCGGAAUGCGCGGUGUAGCGGUGAAAUGCAUAGAUAUCGCGCAGAACUCCGAUUGCGAAGGCAGCGUACCGGCGCCGGACUGACGCUGAGGCACGAAAGCGUGGGUAUCGAACAGG